rnacentral:rRNA from 1 species
UACGUAGGUGACCAGCGUUGUCCGGAUUUACUGGGCGUAAAGGGCGCGUAGGCGGCCACUGCAAGUCAGUUGUGAAAUCUCCGGGCUUAACCCGGAAAGGUCAGCUGAUACUGCAGGGCUAGAGUGCAGAAGGGGCAACUGGAAUUCUCGGUGUAGCGGUGAAAUGCGUAGAUAUCGAGAGGAACACCUGCGGCGAAGGCGGGUUGCUGGGCUGACACUGACGCUGACAGCGCGAAAGCUAGGGGAGCGAACGGG